rnacentral:rRNA from 1 species
GAUAGAGGCGUGCUCGAAAGAGAGCCGUAACACAGGUGCUGCAUGGCUGUCGUCAGCUCGUGUCGUGAGAUGUUGGGUUAAGUCCUGCAACGAGCGCAACCCUUGUCAUUAGUUGCUACAUUCAGUUGGGCACUCUAAUGAGACUGCCGGUGACAAGCCGGAGGAAGGUGGGGAUGACGUCAAGUCCUCAUGGCCCUUAUAGGUGGGGCUACACACGUCAUACAAUGGCUGGUACAAAGGGUUGCCAACCCGCGAGGGGGAGCUAAUCCCAUAAAGCCAGUCGUAGUCCGGAUCGUAGUCUGCAACUCGACUACGUGAAGUCGGAAUCGCUAGUAAUCGUGGAUCAGAAUGUCACGGUGAAUACGUUCCCGGGUCUU